GAGCUGUGGACUGGAAAGGAAGGUCUUUUCUUAUGCAAAUCUCCAAAGUGUCUGUCAGAAGCUGAACAUUCUCUGGUUUCUUCUGGUAAAUCCAAUGUUCUUCUAACAGCCAUAAUCAAAUGCUCCAUGGCUUUGGAGUCCAAGGAGCAAGGUUGUUCCAUAUACUCCUCUUCACUGGACGAGAUUGGCUCCAAAUCCAGGUAAGAUGAAGUCUGUCUGUAUUCAUCGUCAGACUGAUCUGAAUUCAUGCCGAAGGUCUCCCCUCUUGAUCUCUUGAUCUCUUGGGAUUCAGCAAUUCCCUCAACCACUGCAUGCUUAAUCCAAUAAGCAAUAUCCUUGGCUGAGGUAGAGUCUUGUGGUGACCUCUGGCGAUCAGAUUCUCCUGCGCCCAUGGUUAAGCAUUUUCUGCAGAGCCUGCAGUUAUCCAUAGGCCUUGCUCCACAUCCAGGGCAGGCUGCCGGUUUCUCCCUUCUCCUCGAUGGGGAUCUGGGACAGGACCGGUCACGAGGGCUGUAAGAUACAGAAGUCAUAAGACUGUACCCUCCGUGCACUCUUUUUAGUAACGUGAAAAAACCAAGAAAAAAUAUUGCUCACCUAUGACCUAUAGCAGAUCUCGUUGAUUUUGCAGAAGGGGAUGAUGGAUCCAUACUGACUGUAGGGCUAAGAACAUUAAAAAAAAAGGUAAUGUAUUCCCAGCCCAAUAAUAUGAUGAUUUUAAAAUAUAAGUAAUUCUCUU